UUCUCAAACUUGGUUGCAUAUGGGAAUCACUUGGGGAACAUAGAGAAAAACUUAUAUCUGGGUUCUUUCCCAAAGACUCUGAUUUCACUGGCCCAGGUGUAAUGUGGACAUUGGAUUUUUUUUUUAAAGCUCCAAGGUGCCUCUGAUGCACGGCCAGAUUUGAGAACAGCUGAUUUACAUGUAGUAUCUCCACCCUGAGGGAAUCCUGUCUUCAGAUCCAUGUGGCCUCUCUCAUGAAACAAGAAGCAGCCUCCUGGUAUGUGGCAUUUGAUUUCAGAGGCAAGACUUGGAUUGAUGUGAAGAUUUGCCUGAGGAAGCAUUUUGCCUCUGUGACUCUUUUCAUCUAUAAAGAAAUCACUCAGACAUUAAUUUGGGGCAUAGCGUUACCAAAUCGAGACAAGUGGAGCAUACCCAUCAUCCAUCAGAAAUGACUCUAUGGAGCUCCGACCCCAGUUGGAACAUUCCUGCUGCUGUUCACAGGAAGGGCACAUGCCUUUCAUGCUCAGCAUGGACAAUCGCUGACUGCAUCAAAAGACUACCCCCUCAUGUAGAUGACAGAAAACGCACAGUCUUUUACUUAGCUGUUAAUGAGUCAUGGCUCUGUGGCCGGCAGCAAAUGUGGCUGGCCACUGCAGGGCUAUUGUGAAGAGGCAAAUACUUUUAUCCUCCAGGGUUUUGGGUGCUGCCUUCAAGUUUUGUCAAGAAGAGGCUGGU